rnacentral:misc_RNA from 1 species
CAACCCCCAAGCCCUGCUUGGUGUUGGGGCGCUACGCGCCGAGCGUAGGCCUCGAAAGAUAGUGGCGGGCCUGCUGUGAGCCUGGGCGUAGUAGCGAUAUCUCGCCCGGGACGCGCGGCGUGGCUCCAGCCGUUAAACCCCCAGACAGCACACGCAA